GUUGGGAAGCCAGCUGGAUGAGUCUGCACCUCCCCUCCAGAAAUACCUGACAAGAUAUGCUGCCAGAGAGGCUCUGAGAUCCACAAGAAGUGCAUCAGCCAGGAGGCAUCUGGAUCAAAAGCUGGUGAGGUUUGUGCUCCAGCUGUAACACCACAAGUGACCACGGGUCUUCUUUGA
rnacentral:lncRNA from 1 species